rnacentral:rRNA from 1 species
AUUGAACGCUGGCGGCAUGCCUUACACAUGCAAGUCGAACGGUAACGGGCCUUCGGGUGCCGACGAGUGGCGAACGGGUGAGUAAUACAUCGGAACGUGCCCGAUCGUGGGGGAUAACGAGGCGAAAGCUUUGCUAAUACCGCAUACGAUCUACGGAUGAAAGCAGGGGACCGCAAGGCCUUGCGCGGACGGAGCGGCCGAUGGCGGAUUAGGUAGUUGGUGGGAUAAAAGCUUACCAAGCCGACGAUCUGUAGCUGGUCGGAGAGGAUGAUCAGCCACAUGGGGAGUGAAACAGGGCCAAGACUCCUGCGGGAGGCAGCAGGGGGGAAUUUGGGACAGUGGGCGCAAGCCUGAUCCAGCCAGGCCGCGUGCAGGAUAAAGGCCUUGGGGUUGUAAACUGGUUUUGUGGGGAACAAAAAGCCUUCUUUUAAUACGGGGGGGUAAUGACGGUACCGUAAAAAUAAGCACCGGCUAACUACGUG